rnacentral:rRNA from 1 species
GAUGAACGCUAGCGGCAGGCCUAAUACAUGCAAGUCGGACGGGAUUCAGGAGCUUGCUUCUGAUGAGAGUGGCGCACGGGUGCGUAACACGUAUGUAACCUACCUUUAUCAGGGGGAUAGCCUCUCGAAAGAGAGAUUAAGCCCGCAUAAAAUCACAGCACAGCAUUGUGUAAUGAUCAAAUAUUUAUAGGAUAAAGAUGGGCAUGCGGAACAUUAGCUAGAUGGCGGGGUAACGGCCCACCAUGGCGACGAUGUUUAGGGGAUCUGAGAGGAUGGCCCCCCACACUGGUACUGAGACACGGACCAGACUCCUACGGGAGGCAGCAGUAAGGAAUAUUGGUCAAUGGGCGGAAGCCUGAACCAGCCAUGCCGCGUGCAGGAAGACGGCCCUACGGGUUGUAAACUGCUUUUAUACGGGAAUAAACCCAGAUACGUGUAUCUGGCUGAAUGUACUGAAAGAAUAAGGAUCGGCUAACUCCGUG